AAAACAUUCUGGCGUCAAUAAGAAUGAUGAAGCUUCGGUGUAAUUGAAAUCAGGAAACAAGCAGAGCUAGGGAAUAUGACAAGCCCGGAUCUGAUAGGUUUGCUUCUGUAUGGUUGCAAUCGGUGGAUGAAGAUGCAAAUCAGAUGAAGAUGGAGUGAUGGAGAUGACAAGCAAAACUUUGCAGAUCUGAGUUUUUAUGGUUGUAAACCCUAUAUUGUUUUACGAAUCUUCUAAUUUGUUUUCGAAAUUUUUGAUUUUUUAAGUUGUUUAGUGGA